rnacentral:tRNA from 1 species
GGAAGAUCGUCGUCUCCGGUGAGGCGGCUGGAUUUCAAUCCAGCCGAAGCCAAAGUCCCGGGCAGGUUCGACUCUGUGAUUCCGCCA